rnacentral:rRNA from 1 species
CGCCUGUUUAUCAAAAACAUGGCUCUCUGUAUAUUGAAGAUAGAGAGUCGGACCUGCCCGGUGAAUUUUUUAACGGCCGCGGUACUCUGACCGUGCAAAGGUAGCAUAAUCAUUUGCCUUAUAAUUGAAGGCUAGAAUGAAUGGUUUGACAAGAAUACAACUGUCUCUUUACAAUUACAUAAAAUUUUAUCUGCAGUUGAAGAAGCCUGCAUUUGAAUAAAAGACAAGAAGACCCUAUCGAGCUUAAAAAAAACUGGUGGAAUAACAAACUUAAUCCUAACUUAUAAAUAAAUAAAUAGUCAACUACUGGAAAUUUUGGUUGGGGCGACCGGGGAACAAAAAAAACUUCCUUUAUAAAAAUUUAGAUGCCCAAAUAUUGAUCCAGCAUUAUAUGAUUAAAGAAAUUAGUUACCGUAGGGAUAACAGCAUUAUCUUUUUUAAGAGUUCUUAUCGAAAAAAGGUUUGUGACCUCGAUGUUGGACCAGAAUAUCCUAAAGAUGCAGCC